rnacentral:rRNA from 1 species
UGGGGAAUUUUGGACAAUGGGCGAAAGCCUGAUCCAGCAAUGCCGCGUGUGUGAAGAAGGCCUUCGGGUUGUAAAGCACUUUUGUCCGGAAAGAAAUCCUUGGCUCUAAUGCAGUCGGGGGAUGACGGUACCGGAAGAAUAAGCACCGGCUAACUACGUGCCAGCAGCCGCGGUAAUACGUAGGGUGCAAGCGUUAAUCGGAAUUACUGGGCGUAAAGCGUGCGCAGGCGGUUUGCUAAGACCGAUGUGAAAUCCCCGGGCUCAACCUGGGAACUGCAUUGGUGACUGGCAGGCUAGAGUAUGGCAGAGGGGGGUAGAAUUCCACGUGUAGCAGUGAAAUGCGUAGAGAUGUGGAGGAAUACCGAUGGCGAAGGCAGCCCCCUGGGCCAAUACUGACGCUCAUGCACGAAAGCGUGGGGAGCAAACAGGAUUAGAUACCCUGGUAGUCCACGCCCUAAACGAUGUCAACUAGUUGUUGGGGAUUCAUUUCCUUAGUAACGUAGCUAACGCGUGAAGUUGACCGCCUGGGGAGUACGGUCGCAAGAUUAAAACUUAAAGGAAUUGAC